rnacentral:rRNA from 1 species
GACGGACCAUCCAAACGUUAUUCGGAAUUACUGGGCUUAAAGGGUGCGUAGGCGGCGCGGAAAGUUGGGUGUGAAAUCCCUUGGCUUAACCAAGGAAUGGCGCUCAAAACUACCGUGCUCGAGGAAGACAGAGGUGAGCGGAACUUAGGGUGGAGCGGUGAAAUGCGUUGAUAUCCUAAGGAACACCGGUGGCGAAAGCGGCUCACUGGGUCUUUGCUGACGCUGAGACGCGAAAGCGUGGGGGAGCAAACAGG